rnacentral:rRNA from 1 species
AGUGAACGCUGGCGGUAGGCCUAACACAUGCAAGUCGAACGGCAGCACAGUAAGAGCUUGCUCUUACGGGUGGCGAGUGGCGGACGGGUGAGGAAUACAUCGGACUCUACUUUUUCGUGGGGGAUCACGUAGGGAAACUUACGCUAAUACCGCAUACGACCUACGGGUGAAAGCAGGGGAUCUUCGGACCUUGCGCGAUUGAAUGAGCCGAUGUCGGAUUAGCUAGUUGGCGGGGUAAAGGCCCACCAAGGCGACGAUCCGUAGCUGGUCUGAGAGGAUGAUAAGCCACACUGGAACUGAGACACGGUCCAGACGACUACGGGAGGCAGCAGUGGGGAAUAUUGGACAAUGGGCGCAAGCCUGAUCCAGCCAUACCGCGUGGGUGAAGAAGGCCUUCGGGUUGUAAAGCCCUUUUGUUGGGAAAGAAAAGCAGCAGGUUAAUACCCCGCUGUUCUGACGGUACCCAAAGAAGAAGCACCGGCUAACUUCGUG